GGUUUCGAACAGUAUUUUUUUGCUCCGAGUUACGGUCGUUAGUUGCUCGUGGAUGUUAUUCGUCGUAUUCUCGUUUCUGAUUGGUUGUAUCCAAAUUUAGGUUUUGGUCGAUGAUUCACCGGAAAAAAAAUGUGCAAGAAAUUAAAACGAAGCUGUUUCUUUCUGAGUUUUGAAUUAUUGAAUCAAUAAAAUUCAGUCCUGUCUGGUGGUUGAAAAUGUUCGUCAGAUGUUACGAAAGCUGCUGAGUAUUCGAUGAUUGCUUGAGAAGUUGUACGUACCAAACACAUUUCGUCGAAGAAGUUCAUCUCUCAACAUAUCCGUAUAUGAUCCAUCUUCCUGUGAAAUCAUCAGUUGCUGUAAUCAUAACAUGAUAUCUGAUAUUGUCGACGACUGGAUUCAUCUCAAAUACCCACCUACCUACUUUGAAAUUGAAAAUGGCAUGACGAUGAACUGCUGAUCAUUCUAAACCUGUACUACCGAACGAUAACGAUAUCAUGGAACUAAAACAAGGAGUAAAAAAAGCGGAAACGAAAGAUGAUGUUUGUCCUGAAUCAAUUUCAAGAGCUUUGCGUCCUUUUCUCGAACAGAUUCGAUUCAACGACGAUGACGUGUUGGGAAUAUUUUCCUCUUGUAUUUUCUCAUACAUCAUUAUUUUGUUGAAAAAUAUGAUCGGUUUUGGUUUUCGGUUUUUCAAAGUCGGAGUGAUUUUCUUGAAAUUGAAUGAUGACUUUUUCGUUCUUUGAUAUACCUACCUAUUUUCUUCGUUACUCGAUAAUGUAUUACAACGAAUCUACUCUGUGAAUUUGAAGCGAAACAAUAGAAAUUUUCGAAGAUGUCAUUACGUAGAGUACUUUUGCUCCUGUGUAACAAUUUUUGAAACAAUCGAAAAUACUCAUCAUUGGGUUACGAAGCAAACAGCAAUUGAGUUUUGUUCGUAAUUCACUUCCUCACGAUACAAGCACUCAUCCUACUAGUAUAAUGAUGCUGAAAACGUAUUUGCGGAUACGGACCUCCGAGUCGACAGAGCUCGGACUGCCCUUGUAGCCAUCCCAGGCGAGGUUAGGGUAGAAAUCCGUGCGCCGUCUACUUGCUUACUGCUUCCCGGCGGUACACGUGCCGACCGGGGUUUUUACAGGAUCGGGCUUAUCAAAUGGGAUGUAGGCUGGCGCUUUUCAGGCGGUCUGUUAUCACUUCGUACAAGUGUAACUUUUAUUCCUACGCUGACGUCGGCGUGUUGUAAAUUUUACUCUUGUACGAAGUUAUAACUGACCUGUCUGCGGGGUUAGCUAUAUACCUUGCCUUGAGGAUCAAGUUCAGCCUAUCCCGCAGUGUUGGCGCUUUGGUGGGAUGUCAUGAUGACUCAUGAACAUUCAACUGCACUGCUUGUGGUGAGUGUAGGGAAUUGAGCUUCUGUUCCGGAGAGUUGGGCCCGACAAAGGGUUCGAUUCGCUGGACAGUUGAGAGUGCGCGAAGAGCGGGUGUCGAUCUGGAUUUUUAUGCUUUGUUAGAAUGUAGUCGAAGGUGUAAGGUUAUUCCGUCAUCGUAAAAUGUCGAAGUCUCAUUAAAAAGAUGGGUUCGUUUUUUUUCCUGAAAUUUUAGUAUGGGGAAGUAACGGAAGAUGAUCAAUUUUUGACUGCGAGUUUGACUGGUGGACUUUGAGGAAUUCUGAAUCGAACUACGUGCGUUUUGACCUCUGUGAUAAUAGGCAUGGAAUCGGAUAAAAAAACGUUUUGGAGUUUUGUAUCGAUCGCGUGAUCGAGGUGUUUAGAUUAGGGUACGUUUAGCAUAUCGAAAUCGUUAAUCUGUAGUGUUGUUCAAACACCCGGUUUCUCGGACACCCGGUUGUUUUGAUAACAUGAUCCGGGUACCCGGGUGGCAACCGGUUCCGACCUCAAAAAUUGAUGAAAAAUGAAAAAAUCAAGAAAAAUUGCGAUUUUUAAGCUAAAUUUAGCGAAAUGUCGAUGUUUUAAUUCAAAGACGACGCGAAUCUACAAUUAUUACUGCCGAAAAUCCGAAAUGUCAAAUAAAUAAUUUUCUAAAGCGAAUAUUGAAUUUUGAUAAAAAAUCGCGGACAUUCCUAUUUUCACAACAUUCAUUUACUUUUUCAAUGAAAUUUCCACCCGGUUGCGAAUCCGGGUACCCGGUUGCUCCCCAACCGGGUGCAAAUUGUAUGGUGCAACCGGUUGACCCGGUUGUUUGAGCAACACUAUUAAUCUGUAGAUUCGUACAUAUUUUUUUCAUCGAUUUGUUUGUCCCUAACCCCCUCCCCCUUCUGUUUUAAUUCUAGCAGUGGAUUCGGUUAUUCACCAAAAAUGAGGAGGGUUUUAUUUUGGGAUGGAAAUUUUGUCCCAAUUGGUUAAUAUCAAUUUUUUCUGCCUGUUGUGCUUAAUUUUUCUGUACAAAUUGUUGACAUUUUUGCCCUGUUUUAUCAUUUUUAAAAGUUGAUUUUGCGAUUUCUGUUUUAUCUCUGUUAUAUUGUUUUAUGACUUGACUAUUUGUUGUUUCUUUUUUCUGUGUACAUUAUUUUUAGUACUUACAAUGAUUAAUCCCAUUAUUGUAAUGACCAAUCACGGUUUUUCACUGUUGCCCGGCCAGCAGUGUUUUUUAACCCAGAUGGUCAAGUUUUUAGGCAUUUUUUUGUUCAAUGUCGCUGAUUCUUGGUACCUAUAUGAUUUUUGGCCGUGUGGAGUCUUUUUAUUACUUUUUGAAAGUUGAGUUUGAAAUGACCGAAAAAAGUCAAUAAUGAGAGAAUAUGGCGAGUAAGAGCCUUUGAAUACCGAUUUCACGAUACUUAAGUGAAUAUACGUACCUCUAAUUGCUUUGAUUAAAUUGAUUCGUAUAUCUUGAGACGAUUCAAAUCUUGAUUUCUUUUAUCUAAGUUGUUGAAAGCUGCUGCGAUGGAUUUGCACUGCAAAAGUAGGUUCUAAAUCAGUGCAUGAAAGGCAGGUCAGUGUUUAUUUAUAUACCUAUUGAGCAGAAGCGAGCUCUUGAUAUGCCUGUGGUGUGGUAAAAAAAAAUAACACAAGGAAUCGAAAAUGACAAUUAUGGCUCAUUUUAAAUUUAGCCCCUUUCCGAACCCUCCUUUGGAUUUUAUCGAUGAACUAAUAUCAAAUUCGCAUUUAGCAGGUUUGAAAACCUGUAUUUUGAUACCCCACUUGGCAAUUGAGCUCAUUUUCAAAAUUUUGACCCCCUCCUCUGAAAGCCCUUUUUUGGUUUUAUCGCUGAAACAUCGUCAUAUGUAUAGUUCUGGGUAGGUUCAAACCACGGAAAUAUGGCUCAUUUUUCAUAAUUUGGACCCUUUCGCACUGGGCAAGCGCAAACGCCUGUUUUGAUACCUCACAUGGCAUUAAUUAGGUCAGUUUUCAAAAUUGGACCCUCCUUCUCAGAAGCAUCUUUCCUCACAAAACAAUAUUUGGCCUCGUUAUCGAAUUUGGACCUUUUCUCGCCAUUAAAUAUCCAUGGAUCAAUUAAAUUUAGCCCCUCACAAUAGAGAUCCUAUCGCCGAAAUGAUAUUAUCAAAAUCGUGCUUGGGGAGGCUCAAAACAUACAUUUCGACCCCUCACAUGGCAUGGAGGUCAAUUUUUUGAAUUUUUCAGCUCAUUGAAAUAAGUCUAUGGCCUCAAAUUAGCUCAAAUUCUCUUUGAAACAAAAUAUAAAUGUCAGAAUCGCGAUCAGUGACCUCGAAUUAAUAUAAAUAUACGAACGAAAAAAUCCAAUCCUCGGAUAAUCGAUCAAUUCCAGCCAAAAAAUCAAAUUACUCCUGCGAAAAUCAACGUAGGCAACUUCAUUGACAGGUUUACCAACAACACGCAGUGCUCUCUAUGCCAUUGAACUCGAAAUAGUCGUCAAAUUGGUAAAUUAAGGUGAAAGUCCUGCGAUUUUAAUACUACUAGCGCCAUCUAUUGAGCAAAAAUGAAACUUUUGUUCUGUUUUUAAAAGACGAGGUGAUGAAAUGGCGAAAUGAGAGCUAGAUAUGCGCGUGGCGCUAUCUCUCGGAAUAUUCGGGAACUAUUACGAAAAAGAGCGAUAGAAACGGUUUUUCGAU